rnacentral:lncRNA from 1 species
GUGAGAAAGACUCUGAUAAUGACUCAAGUGCACUAUAGGGUCUCCACGUAGGUGGACAGUGACUUAAGGCUCCAGGCUCAGCAGGAGCCCCUUCUGUCUGAUGUAGUUUCAUUUUUCUGUGGUACUCAGUUUCCCACCCAUUAGGUCUUAGUGUGGCCUGUUUCCCCAUUAAACAUAGUCAGGAUUAAUUCAGGGGUUCGUAUCUGGGUCAUAGAUAAACCAGCCAACACUUCAUUUCACCUUUACGAACAAACCAAAGACAGAAUCCUGGGAUGUGGGGGCUCUGCUUCCCUGUCUUUCCUGCCUCUAAGCCUGUUUCUUCCUCACUGGAGGAAAGGACUGAGCCCUACCUCUUCAUGACCUCAGGGCCUGCUGUGGAGCAGGAAUCCAGGUGCAGCUUAGGUGGGUGCCUCUGUUUCAAGAUCUCUUACGAGACUACAAUUAAAGUCUAAGCUGGGACUACAGCCUCAUUUCACGGCUUGACUGUGGAAGGAUCUGCUUCCAAGGUCACUCAUGUGGUUGUUGGCAGGAAUCAGUCCUCAGGUGCUGUUGGACUUGGUUCCGUGCUGGCUAUUGGCUGGAGGCUGUCCUCAGUUCCUUGCCGUGUGGACCUCUCUGUAGGGCAGCUCACAACAUGGCAGAUGGCUUCCAUCAGAGCAAGGAGGUGAGAAAAACAGAGAGAACGAGAAAGACAGAGAAAGAGAUGGAUGGAAGCCAAAAUGUUUUUGCAAUCUGACCUCAGAUGUGGCAUCCUGUCUCUUUUGUCAUAUUCUGUUCAUUAAAAAAAAGUCAUUAGGUUCAGCUCACACUCAAGGUGAGGGGAUUACACGACGGAAUGAAGACCAGGAGCCAUCUCAGUGGCUCCCUAGGACACAGCUCAAAUCUGCUCUUUCAUCCCGUGUCAGACCUGGACAGCUCUGACCCAUUCUCCAAGCCUCAGAGUAGAUGCUUUACCCUCCAGGAUUGAGUUAAUGGUCCUUCAAGCAUGCCUCUGUGACACCCUGGACUUCUCCAUCAUAGCCCCCACCACAGCAUGUCAUUACCUAGCCACUGGUCUGCCUCCUGCCCCUUCUGUAAGCUCUGUGAGGACAGCCACCUUGUCUCUUGUCUUCACUGAUGUGGACCCAGACCCAAGCAUAGGGCCAAAACAUACUGGGCACUCGGGGUAUGUUUACUAAAUUUAUUAAACG